rnacentral:lncRNA from 1 species
GCUUGUCAUAAGUAUAAGACCAGAAAAGGGUGACAGUCAGGGCAGAGAAAGGAGAACUAGCAGACUCCAGGGGGUGGGUGAUGGAGAUUUUGGUAAGCUGGAAUUUGAGAAAGUGUGGAUGGGGAAGAACCGCAGCCAAAACCAGUCUAGCAACCACCUUGGGCUCUCUGGACCUGGGACACUGUGCAUUCAGCCUAGGCCUCCCCAGAAGAAAGAGCACACCUUUGAGGACAAAGCCCGAGUCUGAGAUGGUCUUCCGCUGUGUCCUCCAGACAUGUGCGAGGUGGAGGAAUGUGGCGGCAUAGAAGCUGUUCACCACGGGGAUGACCUUCUGCUGCCGAUUACACUCUCUGCAGGAAAAAGAUGAGGAACUAAGGCUCAGUGACCUUUAGUAACUUUCCUAAGGCAUGGGAACCAGGAUACCAACUGAGGUUAUUUGCUCCAGAGCUGAUGUGCAUAACCCCCAUGCUAGCUCUCCAGCCUCUUCAUCAUCCUGACCCAUCAGCUCUCCUUGGCCUGCAGCAGACCCAACCCCUGGGCCCACAUCAUCUCCUGGUGUCAGGAUGAAGACAGAAGUGAGAGGCUCGGUGCUCUAACUAGCCCUACGGGUUCUUAAAGUCUCCUCUCCCCUUCUUUGGGCUUCUGGUUGUCUGGCUGAUCGUGAGCACCUCAUCCUAAGACAGAUAGAGAAGACGCACGUGGGUAGAAAGUCAUCCUGACUUGCGGGGACACCCCAUCUCACGAUAACACAGAGGCCUGAGAGCCAGCUGUGCGGGUCAGACCCCAAGAGGAGGCAGCCUGAGUCUGGCAGGGGAGCUUCACCAGGAAGGGCCUCAGAAUCCCCUACAGGGACAGCUUUAAUGCUCUAUGUUUAGUCAGGCAAGCUCCUUUCUUUAAUAACAAUGAAACCAAGCUUGCAAAAUCCCUGAAUGGAAAGAGCCUUUUUUUCAGGGAACUUGCAGACAUGACAUGUUAUUUUCCCCUGUUGCACAUACACAAGGACACCCAGUGAGAGGAACACAUAGACCAGUGCAUUCCUUAGUACAGAACAAGAACCAAGGUCUAUUUAUCCCCCCUGCUUCCCGGUUGAAGAAAAAUCCAUUACAUUAUAGUAUAGAACUGUACUGCCCAGUAUGGUGGCA